CACGCCGUAACGAUGUCAACUAGCCGUUGGAAGCCUUGAGCUUUUAGUGGCGCAGCUAACGCAUUAAGUUGACCGCCUGGGGAGUACGGCCGCAAGGUUAAAACUCAAAUGAAUUGACGGGGGCCCGCACAAGCGGUGGAGCAUGUGGUUUAAUUCGAAGCAACGCGAAGAACCUUACCAGGCCUUGACAUCCAAUGAACUUUCUAGAGAUAGAUUGGUGCCUUCGGGAACAUUGAGACAGGUGCUGCAUGGCUGUCGUCAGCUCGU
rnacentral:rRNA from 1 species